GAGAAAAAUGAUAUUUUGGAUAUUUCGUUUAUUUUUCGGGUUUGGUUUCUCUAUCGUUCUUUGUAUUGUCGACGUUUCGUUUCAAUUUCAGUCUCCUUGACAUUCUCCGAUCUCCGUUAAGUGCUUCAAAUUCAAAUUGCGCAAGUUGUUAUAUUUGUAGAUAGACACUUCAAAGAUUCAAUUUUUACUUGAAAAUUGUGAAAUUGAUUAUUGACAUUGAAUCUUAAACCAAAAGGGUUGCUCCAUUUUCUGCAUGAAAUCUAGAUCAUGUUAGACAAGCAUAGAGAGAACUUGUACGAUAAGUUUAUUAGAUCUGAAUGCUCCUUUUUUUGUGUUUUUAGUCGAGAUGUUUUUGCUUUAACGGUUGUUUGUAUGACUUUUCAGUUUGGUAUUCUAUCUUGCUUAUGUUAAAUUAGGGGUGGAUUUGAGCGGAGUUGAUCUUAAACUCGGGAGUUUGAGCUCGACUUGAAUCCAAAAUGACCAAAUUGAAAUUGAGCUUGGCUUGUUUGAAUCGCCGGGAAGAAGAAGAAUCGCCAAAGAAGGAAAAGGAAAAUUGCCAGAGAAAGAGAAGAAUUUCCGGCAAGGUGAUCUUCUGUGUGGCGAUGCGUGGUUGGAUGAUUUGAGUCAAGCUGAGAAUCAAGCCAAGCUCGAGCAGCUUAGAUCGAAUCUACUCCUAUGUUCAAAAUAUGCAUGGUUUUGGAUAUGAAGUUUCUCCUACAAGGUUGGCAGAUUGACAGUGGUGGUAACCCUUCAUGCAUCUACUUUUCCUCUGAGUGACUAUCUAUUAGUACUUUUUUAUGCCUGUGAUGAACCAAGAGGAAAAUGAAGUGAUUAAGAAUAACUUUCAAUGAAGGCUGGAUUCGAGUUAAGCUCGAACUAGGGCCAACUCAAACUUGGCUAAAACAGGGAAAAGAAGAAAAAGAAUUGCCAAAGAAAAAGAACUCUGGUGCGACAGCAGCAACAAGCCCUCAAAUUGAGUGGCAUUGGUAAUAAAUCUUCAUGUGUCUAUUUUUCCUGUGAGUGUCCAUCUCUUGCUACUCUAAACACAAUAUACCGUUGGGUGUAAAAUUGUUCAAUUGGCUGUGAAAGUCUUCCACAACAUUUUAUGCCUUCGGGUAGAGACUGGAACUUCAAUAACCAUUGGACAAAAAAUGCCGAGGGACGAACCAGGGUGUAAGAUUCUAUGUUUGUAUUAGGAGCACAUGGAGGAAGGCUUUUGGAUAAAAGAUAAAAUAAAGUAGGAGAAUGCAAACAAAGCAAAAGAUGGGUAUUGCAGAAAAAUCAUCUUUACGUUUUAUGAACUCCUGGCAAGUUCUCAGCUCGGCCCAUGAUGAACCAAGAGGAGAAUGAAGUAACUAGGAUUGAUAGCUUUCAAUUUUAAUUACUUCAUAGAACCGUUGAUUUAAAACUUGGAUUGGACCUUCUGUCGAGCUAGUUCGGUUGGAAUUUGGUAGUUAGUUUGGUAUGCAACUUUUGAGACUUGAACUGAAUCCAUCUGAUAAAGAUUAUGCAUCAUAUAUCAUUAGACAAUUAUUCUA